rnacentral:rRNA from 11 species
UGCCUACGGCCAUACCACCCUGAACACGCCCGAUCUCGUCUGAUCUCGGAAGCUAAGCAGGGUUGGGCCUGGUUAGUACUUGGAUGGG